rnacentral:lncRNA from 1 species
UCUGUAAUUUCAAUUUUGAGACAGUUAAGAGGAGGAUUUGUUUUAAAUACAUGUUUUUCACAUUUUUGGAAACAUUAUAAAAUGUUGUAUUUUUCAUACCCCACACCCUUUUAUAUCAGGACAUUCCCCCUUUCUUCUUCCCCUCAGAAAAUUCUGUAAGAUUAAGGGUCAUAUAAGGGCUCUUCGCCCUGAAGCCCAUGAGAGAAAAAGAACCCCAUAAACCACAGAAAGAAAUAUCCAUGGGGCACUCAGGUAGCCUAAAAGGUCUGACAACAGCAGGCCCUACCCUACGAACAAAGCCGGGACCCCCACGGGCACGCAGCCAUCUCCUGCACUGCAGCUCUGCUCUCUUCUUUGAUUGGUUUUAGCGGUGACGCCCCCUCUGAAUGCCUCGCUCGGAUUGGCCUACUUCUUGGAUCAGACUGGACGGUGGCCAGAGGAGGACAAGAGAGUUCCAUACGGUCUGGAGGGACGAUUUGGGUCACAUCUGAGAAGGAGUUGCACAUCAACAAGCGUCCAGGCUCCAGGGACAUGGCGGCGGCCUCUGUGAUGUCGGUGCUGCUGAUGGCGACUGAGAGGAACCGGUGGCAGCGAGUCCAGAGCCUGCUGCUGCUGCUGCCGCCCAGGCAACGAUCCAAAAGAUACUUCUAG